ACUGCUGCCUCCCGUAGGAGUAGGGGGAAUCUUCCACAAUGGACGAAAGUCUGAUGGAGCAACGCCGCGUGAGUGAAGAAGGGUUUCGGCUCGUAAAACUCUGUUGUUAAAGAAGAACAUAUCUNAGAGUAACUGUUCAGGUAUUGACGGUNUUUAACCAGAAAGCCACGGCUAACUACNUGCCAGCAGCCGCGGUAAUAC
rnacentral:rRNA from 1 species